rnacentral:lncRNA from 1 species
AAAGAAAAAGAAAAAAGAAAAAGAAAGGAAGCUCCCCUGGGUCAUUUCCCUAGAAGACAAGUCUGAUCGAGUGGGGUUUUUGUUGUUGUUGUUGUUGUUGUUUCUCUGCACGCAUCUUGGCGCGGUUUGAUGCAUUUAUUUGUUUCUGACUUUGGACACCCUUGCUAAUCCCUCUAAGGAAUAAACUGGUCACCAAUCCUUAUGCGGGGAGAUGGUUACCAUGCCGAGGCAUUGCCUAGGCGCUGGCGCCUUAAAAAGGUAAAUUCUACCAAUUAAACCAGACAGGGCGACCGCACGGCUGCUUAAAAAUUACCGGCCUGGUGUGAGGUGCAGGCGGAUUUUGAGACGACAAACCUCCCCCUGCGCUUCGUGUGGGCGAGAAAGCGGGAUCCGACCUCGUACGGACCCGCACGGUGAGACAGAGUGCGUUCAACUUCACUGUCCUUACAGGAGCUGUUUCUUCUCCCUACGCGCAGCUGCGGGGAUGCCGCUCCUUACGGCUGGGAGCAUCCCGAAGUCUGCAAAGUCCGGCUGCGCGCCUCGAGGACCUGCUGAGCUGGGCUGGGAAUUUCCAUCCGUGCCCUCGUCCAGGCUGUGCCGACACACACACACACACACACGGCGAGCGCACUCUGAGACCAUUCAGAGCCGAUUAACAGGUUUUAACUGAUGUAGAUCUUAACCUCCGUGCUUCGAGACGCGCUCCAGGUCAGUACCUUCAGCCCUCUCCUUAUUGCGUACACUCGUGACGAUGGUCGGGAACCGAGCUGCCAUACCGAGCUGCACUGUGCAGCAGCGAAGGAGAACAUGAACUAAAGAAAUGGGCGAGGGGGAGAAAUCCACCUUGUCAGUAACAAUUACCUACGGGUACUUCGUGCUUUUCCUUCUCUGUUCUCAAAGAACUGUGGUACAGUGAACAGCAGCGCCAGCCCCAGUGCCCGGAUAGAGGCUGGGAAGGGUAAGGGACUGGAAACGAACUUUGAAGGAAUCCCAAACUUUGCAGAAUCGCAGAACAUUCUGCUUUGGAAGGCGCCCACAAGGACCAUCCAGUCCAACUUCAUGCUUCGCACAGGACCACCCAAAAACCAGACCGUAAUCACGCUGCACACAGCGUUCUCCGCCAUCCCCCCGUCUCUUCAAAGACACACUGCUCGGCUCCCACAUCCCUCUCUCCCGCACCACGGCGGAUUUUCCCCUCCCGCCCCAGACAGCGGUGCCCUCACCUGAGCCGGCUUCCCGGGGCGGCCCCGCUCCCCCCCGCCGCCCUUGUUAAAGGGGCCGCCCCGUUUCUGCCGAGUUCCCCGGUGUCUCAGCAGUGGAGCCCGACGCCAACGGCCGCGGGCUCAGCCUGUCCCGAGAAACCCUUAGUGCACAAUACACGCAGCAUUUCAGAUGAAACCCGCCCGAAGGUGAGCCAGCCCCUCUGCUGCACCGAAGCUCUGUCUCCGGCCUCCCCAAACCUCUGAAAACAGGUGUUGUUGGGCCCCAAAGGAGGGAUGGGGCUCAGGAAGCCCCACAUCGGUACCCCUGUGCCUCACAGCCACCGGGAUGCCGACAGCUUUGCUGCGAGGGAAGUACUCUCCAAGGAUCUAAAUAGGAGCUUUGCUUGCUCUGGUCUCGUAUGUAUUUGUGGUUACGGUUCUGGUUAAGUUUGUACCUGUGAGUAUGAUAUGCUAAGCACCGUUUCUUAAUGUUUUCUGGGUUAUCUGGGCAAGCCUGUUGCUACUCCCUCUGCCUUGCCCACAUGGUGUUUAGGUGCCUGAUGGCAACUGCGGUGCAAACUGAGCCUGUGCCUGUUUUCCUGAGGAGUGAUGAAGUGAUGCCUCUCAGAAAGACACUGUGGGAUAAAUCAUUUAUAUGGGAAAGUGGCACAGGGAAGUAGCACCAGGCUUGAAAACCCAAAUCCAGCUUUAUCCUAUUUCAGACAAGGCUCAGUAUGUUGCUGAGGGGUGAGGGUGGUUAGCAAGGCUUGGCUCGUGAUGGUUUUCAUCCAUUUAGGUUUUGCCUUGUUGAAAUGUUUCAUCUAAACCCUGAAGUCUGACUAUUCUUC